GGCAGACGGGUGAGUAACAUGUAGGCUAUCUACCCUUUGGCCAGGAAUAACACGAGGAAACUUGUGCUAAUACCUGAUAAGUCUUUACGGAGAAAGCUUUAUGCACCAUUGGAUGAGCCUGCACUUGAUUAGUUAGUUGGUGGGGUAAAGGCCUACCAAGACUUUGAUCAAUAGCUGAUUUGAGAGGAUGAUCAGCCACAUUGGGACUGAGACACGGCCCAAACUCCUACGGGAGGCAGCAGUGGGGAAUCUUGCACAAUGGAGGAAACUCUGAUGCAGCGAUGCCGCGUGAGUGAAGAAGGCCUUUGGGUUGUAAAGCUCUUUCGUCGGGGAAGAAAAUGACUGUACCCGAAUAAGAAGGUCCGGCUAACUUCGUGCCAGCAGCCGCGGUAAUACUAAGGGACCUAGCGUAGUUCGGAAUUACUGGGCUUAAAGAGUUCGUAGGUGGUUGAAAAAGUUGGUGGUGAAAUCCCGGAGCUUAACUCUGGAACUGCCAUCAAAACUUUUCAGCUAUAGUUUGAUAGAGGAAAGCAGAAUUU
rnacentral:rRNA from 1 species